rnacentral:rRNA from 1 species
GACGAACGCUGGCGGCGUGCCUAAUACAUGCAAGUCGAGCGAAGUUUUUCUUUUGCUUGCACCGUCAAAACUUAGCGGCGAACGUGUGAGUAACACGUACUGAACCUGCCUCAUAGAUUGGUACAACUAUUUGAAACUAUAGCUAAUACCGGAUAACAGCAUUAACUGCAUGGUUGAUGAUUAAAAGUUGGUUUUGCUAACACUAUGAGAUGUCUUUGCGGUGCAUUGGCGAGUUGGUGGGGUAAAGGCCUACCAAGGCGGCGAUGCAUAGCCGACCUGAGAGGGGGAUCGGCCACACUGGGAGUGAGACACGGCCCUGAGACCUACGGGAGGCAGAAGUAGGGAAGCGUCGGAGAUGGGCGAAAGACUGAAGGAGCAACGCAGGGUGGGUGAAGAAGGGUUUCGGGUGGUAAAGCGCUGUUCUUAGGGAAGAACGAUUGUGUAGAAACUAUAGACAGGAGAGACGGUAGCUAACAAGAAAGCAACGGCUAACUACGUG